rnacentral:rRNA from 1 species
UACGUAGGGGGCAAGCGUUGUCCGGAUUUACUGGGCGUAAAGAGCGUGUAGGCGGCCACGCAGGUCCGUUGUGAAAACUGGAGGCUCAACCUCCAGCUGUCGACGGAAACCGUGUGGCUAGGGUCCGGAAGAGGAGAGUGGAAUUCCUGGUGUAGCGGUGAAAUGCGCAGAUAUCAGGAAGAACACCAAUGGCGAAGGCAGCUCUCUGGGACGGUACUGACGCUGAGACGCGAAAGCGUGGGGAGCGAACAGG